rnacentral:rRNA from 1 species
CUACGGGACGCUCCAGUGAGGAAUAUUGCACAAUGGGGGGAACCCUGAUGCAGCAACGCCGCGUGGAGGAUGACGCAUUUCGGUGUGUAAACUCCUUUUAUAUGUCAAGAAAAUGACGGUAGCAUAUGAAUAAGCACCGGCUAACUCCGUGCCAGCAGCCGCGGUAAUACUGAGGGUGCAAGCGUUACUCGGAAUUACUGGGCGUAAAGGACGCGUAGGCGGGCUUGUAAGUCAGGUGUGAAAUCCUACAGCUUAACUGUAGAACUGCACUUGAAACUACGAGCCUAGAGUAUGGGAGGGGCAGAUGGAAUUAGUGGUGUAGGGGUAAAAUCCGUAGAUAUCACUAGGAAUACCUAAAGCGAAGGCGAUCUGCUGGAACAUAACUGACGCUAAGGCGUGAAAGCGUGGGGAGCAAACAGGAUUAGAUACCCUCGUAGUC